GACGAACGCUGGCGGCGUGCCUAAUACAUGCAAGUUGAGCGCUGAAGGUUGGUACUUGUACCAACUGGAUGAGCAGCGAACGGGUGAGUAACGCGUGGGGAAUCUGCCUUUGAGCGGGGGACAACAUUUGGAAACGAAUGCUAAUACCGCAUAAAAACUUUAAACACAAGUUUUAAGUUUGAAAGAUGCAAUUGCAUCACUCAAAGAUGAUCCCGCGUUGUAUUAGCUAGUUGGUGAGGUAAAGGCUCACCAAGGCGAUGAUACAUAGCCGACCUGAGAGGGUGAUCGGCCACAUUGGGACUGAGACACGGCCCAAACUCCUACGGGAGGCAGCAGUAGGGAAUCUUCGGCAAUGGACGAAAGUCUGACCGAGCAACGCCGCGUGAGUGAAGAAGGUUUUCGGAUCGUAAAACUCUGUUGGUAGAGAAGAACGUUGGUGAGAGUGGAAAGCUCAUCAAG
rnacentral:rRNA from 1 species